GAUCACCAAGACACAAAGGUCGAAAUAUGCAACUAAUGGCUUGAUGGAUGGGGAGGAGGACCAUGAUGACCUGGCCUUCACAUAAUUAUUAGCAUACCAUGAAUCAUUGCUUGUUAAUGUCAGUAAAAAUGCAGGAUGAUGUCGUUUCCGAUGUCUUGCCAGGCUGCUGUAUCUGAACAUUUGGAUCCCCUAUUUGGGUAAAAUCGUUUCCACUUUACAAGUUUCUUUCUACUUCAUUUGGUUAGUUAUCAUGGUGGUUAAUUUCUUCUUGUUUGUUUUUGUGAGCGGUGCAACUUCCUUGUGCAUGACAAAAUAAUUCUGUCCAAAUAAUUCGUUCUUUGAGCAAAGCAACUUCGUUGGGGAUGCCAAAAGAAGUUUCAGUUUUCUUACUAAUUCACCGCGAUUGGUAAGGAUAGAACAAUGAGAGUUUUCCUUAUCUUGAUUUUGUACUGAACAUAAUCAUUUAUGGAAGGCCUUCAAAUAGUUCUAUAUAGUAUAUCAACGAGGAACAUUAUGAAGCUCUUGGGGCGUUCUCUCUUAGUAUUACAAUCUAAAUCCUUGUUGUGUUUGUAAGAAAUUGUGUUAAACAUGGUUAUUAGCUUAUUGGAUCUUGAACAAACUGCAUUACAUGUGCAGUAAUUUUAGUGUCUAGACAUGCAUACUCUGUUAUGUUAGAUUUAGGAGAAAGAGUUAUUUUAUUCAUUCAUCCGUAUUUUUUGGCUAUAAUGCAAAUCUAUUUUUUAUCUAUUGAUCUUCUUUGCUUCAGUUGUGCUCUUGUUACUUUGUUUGUAAGUUAGCAUGACAGAAUUUUUCAUGCUAAAAUGAUUCAUGGUUGCAGGCUGCCGUGACACUAAACUGGCCCCCCCCCUAGAAACUGACAAAAAUUUACUUUUGCAGCUAUGUAGUCUUCUCAAAUCCAUGGUUUAAUCGCCUGAAUUUCUUGAGAAGCUUGACCCAUUCACAAGCAUGUAGCAUCAUGCGACACACAUGAAUAUAUCGGUCACACGUUCAUGCAACCAGCUGAUGCCAGACACAUAUGAAUCCGCCGCCCGUGCGUUGAUGGGGACGCCUCGCGUCUGGAUAGAGGCGACACACCUAGACGCCAUCCUGCCUCACGCACACACGAGCCAGAUCGGUCCAUCCUUCAUUCAGGUCCAUCUUUACAGUAGUUUUCGUACUUCACACUUUGGAAGCAAAAUCAUGUAAGUUAUCUAUUAGAGAUGGUGUACAAAUAAAAAUACAUGUUUAGAAAUCAGAUUCACCACAAAACAAACAAAUACAACAAAUCCAUCGUGAAUGAAGGAUUCUCUCAAAAUAAUUUUGUCGGCCUUUUUACUUGUUCCAACUUCCGAGCACCUAUUGAUGUGAAACCACGGCAACAUGAUAGGUGAUACUAAGUUAUGUUGCGAGAAAUGAAAUAGUUUGUGUCAACAAGAAGAGAAACUUCAUGCAGAUCCACGAGCUGGCCGGGGCAGCUUGGUUUCCUCCUACGUGUGCGGGGUCUGCACUGUAAUGUAUGUGUGUUACAAUGACAACGACGAGAAUGAGAAGGUUAACUUGGUUUUUAUUAGUUGUAGACAUAGUUUCAAAUAGCCGGCUAUAGCCCCGCUAUAGCCUUGCGAUAGCCUUUUCAGCAGGGUGCCGCUAAAUGGUAUCAUGUACAAAUAUGCCGCUAUAGCUGAUUUUCAGGCCUGCCGCUAUUUGCCAUAGCCCACUAUUUAAAACAUUUGCAGUGUCAUUGCCCUUGUUUCCUCUUAUGUUUCUAUGAUUAGAGUUUUGGACUGACGAUUUGCAGAGUAGUGGUGAGGAAUUGUUGUUAUGAUUUAUGAGGUCCAGUGCCGGUGACCAGAUAACUCUAGCAAGUGUUCAAAAUUCAUGUACAAACAGAACGACGGGUACCCCCCCCCCCGCGUGCGCCCAAACUCACUUUGUAAUGUUGAUAUGAAGGCAUUGUUGUACUCUUUAUCUUCCAAUUUUGUGGCUUGAGAAGUAUGUGCAGUUUUACUUUCCUCUCUUUUAAUUUCAGUUUAACCACUCAUAGGUUUGAAUAAGAAAUGCAUAGGGCACAUGGAAAUGUUAUGAUAUAUUUCAGAGAUUGUGUUUUGGGCCACAAGUUGACAAACAUCUAGCACUUUGUGAACAAUGUCCAUAGAACGAUGGGGUUGCGAUGGCCUGGAGAUGAAGGUACGGUGGUGUCCUGACCAUGAGAGCAUAACAAUGGUGGCCUGAAUAUUAUGCUUAGUGAAGUCAUUUUUUCACCAUUCACCAAUCUGAAAUUAGUUAUUCAGACAAAGUAAGUUUCUGGCAAAGCAUACUUCAUAGUUAUAUUCGACUAAAAUUUUCUUCAGUUUUUUGUUCUAUCUAAUUGACACUUUUUUUGUAUGUACAGAGUUUAUGGUAGAGAGACCUUUGUUUGUACUGACUAUUGAAUUUUGUCCUUUAUAUUUCCAAACUCUUUUGUUAUGUUCUUUACUCUCGAGUCCAUACUUUCAAGAUUUUUUGUUCUUCCAGGAUUUCAGAGAGUAUGGACCACCGUAUGGCUAAAGGAGAUGUAAUUCUUGACUGUCGUUGUCCUUGCUGUGUUGCUGCCAUUUUCCUGGCGGUAAUCUGUGCAGUGCGGAGACUUGAGUGUGACCACUGUAGAGCAUGCCUUGUGAUCAAUUGUUCACUUGUUGAGAUAUUUUUCUCCACGCCCGUUUUGUCGCUCUAAUUUCUGAUUUUAGCUACGUAGGAGUUUUGAUGAAUUUAAUCUUCUCCGCCGUGCGUUCUGAGGGCAGAAUUACAUGGUAGUUUCCAACGCUGGUUGGCAAGAAAAAAGUUAUGUGGUGAUUUUGAGAUAUUUUCUCCUACCCGUUUUGUCGCUCAAAUUUCUGAUUUUAUCUAUGUAUGAGUUUUUAUGAAUUUACUCUUCUCCGCCGUGCAUUCUGAGGGCAGAAUUACAUGGUAGUUCUCCAACGCUGCUUGGCAAGAAAAUAAUUAUCUCGUGAUUGCUCUUCUCAACUGACAUGUUAUGAUAUUUUUGUGCACCAUGUUUUGUCGAUUCACCUAAUGCAGGCAGUAGUCAAUUAUUAGGUAAUAUGUUUCCUGAAGGAGGAGAACGUAAAUUUAACGUGUGUACUAUUUUUAUUCAUUGCUCAAAAGGUUUAGCUAUAAACUACAAUUUGUUCAAGGCGGGGUACCAUAAAUUGGAUGGUAUUGCAUUUAAUUUAAUUCAGUUUAAAGAACAAUGUUUAGUGUCAAACUUCUAUUAUUUUUUCCUGUGCUUUGUACAAGAUUACUAAUUAAAGAACAAACUCCGUGCAGAAUUAUAAGAUGUUCUAACGUUUUUUUGAUUCAGAUGUAUAUAGAUGCAUUUUAGUGUGCUUGUUCACUCAUUUCUAUAUGUAUGUAGUCUAUAUUGAAAUAUCUAAAAUACCUUACAAUUGUGACGGAGGGUACUAUACUCGCAUAUGCACCAGAUAGAGUCACCUCCGCCAAGUCCGAUGUGCCUGCCAAGAAGAUGGGGUUCCAACAUGGCCGACAUGUUGCGAGCAAAAACCUGGGCAUGCACGACUAUCCUCCUUCAGGGUGCCUUGAUUUUUGGCCAGUUUAGUAAGUAUGUUCAGUCUACUCCUCCAAUCUUUUGCUUGGACUUCCUUUUUUGAUCAGUUUGAUCGCCUCAUCUAAUCUUUGUAAUAUUUUUAAUGUUAGUUUUACCGACAUAUUAAUUAGAGAAGAAAUAUUUCUAUCAUUUAAUGCUUCAAAUUCCAAUCUGGCUGCAGAGAAAUUCAAGCUUUCAAGGUGGUCGUCGAGCAUGUAAAAAGGUAACAAAGAAAAAUGCUGAGAAGUGAUACAUCAUUGUCAGUGUUAAGUUCAUACAAUGCAAAGUAAGAUGACCCCUAUUCAUGAUAUCAAGAGGACAUGCCUUCUAUACAACUAAUUAAUGUUUGGGCUGAAGGUACAAAACACAGGACAUGCACUCAAAUAGAAUUGGUAUCAAGAUAUUCAGAAGACAUGGAUCCAUCACUCGCUACUUGUUCAUUCACUUGCUCAUGAACUCGCUGGUCCGCCUGAAGCGACUAGAAGACAUGGAUCCAUCAAGGAAGAUUAGAGGAAGACCAUCGAAAGGAGGAUGCAUAAGGUAGUGGUAGCAGCACGUAGCCUUCUAAUCCAGCAUCGUUCAUAACAAGAUUUUUUUGUUGCGAGAGCAUAAAAAGCUGAUGUUGGAAGUUCCAGCGAGUGACUUUGCUAGCAAGAAUCGAGCAAGAGUGAACUAGCUUGUAGCAACACACAUAAGCAAUGAUAACUCGUGUGUAUUGUUCCUCCAUUGGUUAUUUUACAAUUGUAAACUCGGGAUAAUCUGUUCUUGCCUCUUCUCCAUAGAGAUUUUCUGCAAGUAAAUUGAUUUGACUGGUAAUAUUUAUGUUUCCGUUGCAACUCACGUGCAAUUAACUACCUUUUCUUUACAACAAAUUAAUUUUCUG
rnacentral:lncRNA from 1 species